CUUCCCUGCCGCUAGAUGUCACUGCAUCAGCGGCAUUGAGUGGCGCAGUUAUCCUAACUGACAUGACUGACAGCAGAGUACCGGACGAUGCUAUUGAUCUAGCCGACCGCCACACACUUCGGGCUGAUGGAACAGCGACUUAAACCGGCCAAGCCAAAGGCAGAGGACUGUGCAUCUAUGGGUCUCCGAAUAAAUGAAGGAUGGUGAGGUGGAGAUGGUAAAUAUGGUACGGUAAAGCAGCAUCCUUGAGGGGACACCUGGAGGGCCAAAGACGACGUGGGACAGGAAGAGACCGGAACGAAACAUGCGGACGCUCGCCCUCGCCCUCGCCCUCGUUCCCACGCGUGACAAUUUGAACACGAAAACGUUGCAGUUGGGAAAGCAGUCGCCUCCACUCACCGGACGUAAAGAGCACGAUGGAUUUGAGGCAGGAGUACUCGGCCGUGUCCACCUGCAGGGCCUUCAGCUUCUCCACCUGCUCCUGGAAGACGCGGAUGUGGUCCAUGAAGGCCACAACGCGCUCCGCCGACAUGGGCGAGGCGUGCAGGCCCGCCGCCGCCAGCAGGGGCGCCACGUGCAGCGGCAUGGAGCACUGUGCGGCGUUGAGGACGAAGAGCUCGCUCCACGACAUGCGCAGCAGCGCCACCUAGGAGGACGACGACGGACAUCAUUAGUUUGUUAAAGCAGGGGUGUCCAAACUUUUUCCAGCGAGGGCCACAUGGUGAAAAGUGAAAGGAUGCGAGGACCACGCUGAUAUUUUGGAAAGCAACACGGAGACAGAUGCUCCGAAGCGAGAUGAAAAUGCUGCUAAAAAUGGCCUCUUUCCCACAAGAAUACAAGUUUAUUCUUGGAAAAUUGCCACUUUUGUUCUUCAUUUGAUCAUGAUUUUUGUUCUUAAUAUUUGGACUUUAUUCCCGAAAGCUGUUUUUUUCCAUUUCUGCUGAUUUUUUUAUUUAUUUUCCAACUCUUGGAUUUCAGCUUCUUCUCGGAAUUAGACCUUUAUUUCCAUAAUAUUUUUUAUCUUUUCCAGAAAAAUGAUGUAUUCUUUCUUUCCUUCAACAUUGUUACUAAAAUGAUAUUUUUCCUCAUGUUACAAGUUUCGUCUCUAAAAUUGCAAUCUUCUUUGUCAUUAGAAAGCCAUUUUGUGUCGUGAUGUUUUGACUUUAUGCUGUUUUCCAUUUCUGCUUUGGAUUUUGUUGGUAUAAUUUUCAGAAUAUUUCAACUUUCUUCUUGUAUAUUUUCUUCUGCUAAUAUUUUCACUUUAUUCUGAUGUU